rnacentral:rRNA from 1 species
GCGUUAAUCGGAAUAACUGGGCGUAAAGGGCACGCAGGCGGACUUUUAAGUGAGGUGUGAAAGCCCCGGGCUUAACCUGGGAAUUGCAUUUCAGACUGGGAGUCUAGAGUACUUUAGGGAGGGGUAGAAUUCCACGUGUAGCGGUGAAAUGCGUAGAGAUGUGGAGGAAUACCGAAGGCGAAGGCAGCCCCUUGGGAAUGUACUGACGCUCAUGUGCGAAAGCGUG